UCUAACGGGGGGCCAGAAAAGGAGUGGGAGAGCCGGCAACAGCUCACAAUGGUUUACAUGAUUGACAUGGUCUAUUCCGUCUGAACUCGCACUAAAGACUAAUUGGUCCCAGAGCCAACCCCAGCAGCCGCAAACACCCCUUUGUCACAGGAGGAGGCUGAGAGCCUGAGGAGAAGGACCCAGAAGAGCCAGAACAGGGCUGAAGCCAGAGUCCGUCCCCCCGUUCACAGCUCCUUUCCCUGCACCGCUUCCGGGAUCCAUCCCCUCCCCGGGGGAGGAAGGUGCACUUCCAGUCCAGCGUUUCUGUGAGUCAGCGUCUCUAGACAUCACCACCUGGGCUCUCCCAGUGCCUCAGGCUGACAUCUGAGUCUAGCCCAUGCCCAUCUAAACCUCCACACCCUGGUUCAACCGCCAUCAGAACCAUAUAACAGCUGCUUCAGAUGGAAAAGCUCCUCUUCAGGGGUUUUCACCACGCUGAUGAGUCUUCAUCACCUUAUUUGCUCCUGCAGCAUCAAGGUGGGCUGGGCACUGAAGUAGGUGGUGAGCUCAUCUGAAAGGUGUGGUCAGAGAGAGGAAGUGACUGGCCCUGAAACGCAGUAAGCCCACUCUUCCUGCCUGCCCUGCUCAGCGCUCCUCCCAGAAGGAUGCAGUGCCCCAGAGGUCCCUCCCCAUGACCUGGCUGCCAGUCUCGCAUAUGGGCAGCCUCCUCGGGGCACUCAGACCAACCCCUGCCUCCCCAGCCUGCUGUCCUUUCAGCCCUCCCACCCCAUCCCCAAGCUGAGGUCAGCCUCCUGCCUCCCCUGGCCCCUGGCAGACCCUGCUCCUGUGCCAGCUCCAGCCCUGCCUUCUCACAGCCUGUGGGCCACAGGUGGCCUCAAGGCCUGGCAUCCAGUUGUGUUUUUUCCCCUGCAAAUUCCUUAGCACAUGCCAGGGGUAGCUCUGAGCAGGAAGGCACAGGCAGCCAGCUCUGCAGCCUGGGCUUCCCUCACUUGGGACCUCAGUUCCCCGUGAGGACAACAGCCUCAUUCCAAGAGGGACUGGGGUCAGAUCCAGCCCCUAGUCCUACAACCCCUACCCCUUCCUACUCCCCCACAGAAGCUCCUCAGACAUUUGGCAGCACCAGACAGGGCCGGAUGGACGCAAACAUGAGGUCAGAUCUCAAUUGCUUCCUGAGCCCUUCCCAGAGGAUCGGGGUUCUUUCCAACCAGGAAGCAGCUGAGGUGCUCCAUAAAGGAAACCAGAGAGUCGGGGAGGGAUGGAGAUCAUUGCUGGCAGACAAUGUGACAAUGCCCCCAUUUCCCAGAUGGGCAACUGAGUCACAAGCCAUAACCCAGCAUGCUGUGACCACCAUGAGCCCUCACCUCUUGUAAAAGGCUGUUCUAAGUCCAAGGGCCUAGGAUGAGCCGAGGAGGGGGUUGGGCUAAGGCCAGAAGGAUACCUGGGCCAGCUCCCAGGAGCCCUGACUCCCAGGAGAGGGACCCGUGGUAAUGGGUCCUUCAUUCAGACUCAGGCUGGGGAAUUCUGCAGUGAGGGGAGCUUUUCAGAGAGGGGUGCUGUGGGGGACUCAAGGGCAGCAAGUGGGAGGAAGGCACUGGGAUCUGCUCAGCAGGUGCAAAGGGACUAGCAGAGGAGGCGCUCGGUGAUCCUCCUCAGGUGACCUUGCUGGCCUGUCUCCCCUCCGGCGUCAGCUGGCUCGCAGGAGAAGAUCCGGGUUUAAGUUGGGUAUGUCCCAAUAGCUCAGACUCCUGGACCUGGCAGGCCAGCAGGGAGGGGCAGCGUAGCAGGAGGGAGACAGGCAAGGCCAUCAUGAUGAGGAAAGAGGAGGAGGGGCCUCCCCAGGGUGGCAGGCACAAGGCUGUCCAGGGGAACCCACAGCUGCCCCUGGGUGGAGGGGCAGUGGGUGCCUCUCCCUCCAUCCGUUAACUGGCAGGAUGAGAUGGGCACUCUCCUUGCCCAGGCCCAGACCUGGUCCCCACAACCGGAGCCUCCCACCCAGCAUUGUCCUCCCUGGGGAGCCAUGCUGGCUGCGGGACUGCGGCCAUGCCUGGCAGGGGACGGUGCUGAUGCUGACACAGCAAGAACCAGGCCAGCCGUGAACAAAGAAACGUGGGAAGGGGCCGCAUCUGCAAGAGUCGUUCCUGCGGUGGCGGCCAGCACCGUGCGCUCCAGGCUCAGGGCGGAGGCACAAGACUGCCCAAGUGUUCCAGCCAGCAUGUUCCUGAUAAGAUACUCGGGGCAAAGCUGGUCAAGGUCCUCCGGGCACAGCUCUGUACAAAAAUCUCUAUCACCUCUCCCCAGGGCCCCACCCCCUACUCUCCCGACACAAAAGGCCUUUGGACCACCUUUCAACCCCAACAGCAGGGUCCGCCCGCCACCCUCACCCUUUCCGCCAUGUUCCCCAUCAGGGUGGGAGGGGCCAUGCUAGGCCCAGAGGCGGACAGCACCGGUCCAGAGGGGCUUCAGUGCCCUGAUUGGCUUGUGGUUGUGGGGGAGGCACCCAGAAGCAGGGAGGCUGGCCAGGUGCAGGAGCCCUGAUGCUGGGCCCGUCACACAGCAUCAGGGAAGGAGCUGCCAGCACCGGUGGGGUGAGGGCUGGGAGCCUCGGGGAAGCAGUGGCUUUUCAGCUGAGUAAGGAGAAACAUUAGCUAAAGUGGAGGUGGUGCCCCACUUUCCAGACGCAAGCGAGGGGGAGCUGCCCACUGCCCGCAGGGCCCCAGGGCGGGGCGGGAGGGCUCAGCACGGAGCGGUCCACCGAGCCAGGCCAGGCAGGGUCAGCACACGGACUGGCGGAGACCAGGGUCCCAGAGAGGUGGGGACAGGAGGCACCCCCGCCCCUGCCGCAUGAGGAACACAUGAACAGGGGGUAGAGUGCGAUGCAGCUGUGGGCCUAACCCCAAAGCUGGUGGGACCCAGCAGGCCGGUCCUUGGGGCUGGGAGCAGGGGAACCCCAGAGAUCAGCUGCUCCUAGGGUUGAGCUUCUGCCUGAAGCUGGGAAAGCCACAGAGAGGCUGAGCAUGUGGCACAGGGACUCACAGCCUGGAUGGGGCUGCAGUGCCCGCCCCUGGACGUCCCACAGUGGAGCUCCCUCCUGCCUCCACGGCCCACCAUCCUGAGCAUCCAGCUUGGGGUGCUUCCAUCCCUUUUUUGAGUUCAUUCCUGUGGCCAAGCCCUUCCCCCAUGGUUCCCCAUGCCGGCACCCCAGGAGGGUCCUGCCCCUUCUUUCCUACCCAGCCUCAGCUCCUUCCCCCAAGGCUCCAAGCCCCCUCGCCCUGCUCAUGGCAAAUCGCCGUUCUUCAGCUGGAGCCAGGAUCUUAGCUCGACCCCAGCCCCUGGUCCAUAGAGAGAAGCCAGAAGCCGACAGUCCCAGACCCAGGCUGCGGCUGAGCUCAGGCUAGGACAGGUCUCCUGCCACACCCCUGCAGCUCAGAGGGCAUCGCCUGUCUCUUCAGAGCCUCCCAGACCCCCCUGGUUCAAAGUUCCACUACCACGCACUCUGCGAUCUCCCACAAUCUGCUCUAUAUUCUGAGCUUCUUCAUUGAUGAAAUGAAGAUAACAAAUUUUGCCCGAUGAAGUCGUUAGAGGGAUUCGAUAAAAUACAUGCACAGGCAGGCCCCAUGCCAGGAGCAUCUGAGGCCUGAGACCUCCCUCCCCGCCUCACUCAAGCCAUGGACAUUCCUGAGCAGCACCAGGAACCCGAGACCUCAUUCUGGGAAACCGGACACCAGCCAGGAAUCAGUGGCCAGAGGCUCCGGGAAUAGAGGGAGGCCCUGGACGGGGACAGAGCUGGAGGCGGCCGGCGGGGAGGCCAGUGUCGAGAAGGCUGCUCAGGGACAGCCCCUCUGAGAAUGCGCCCUGAGGCCCUAAAGGAAUGGGUUGUGCAGCUUGUGGAGGAAGGCGUCUUUCAGGUUCUAAGAAAUGGUUAUCUGACCCUGUUACCACACCACAGUGGGGCCUCUGUGUGGGGCUGAUAAGGCCAGAAGGUAUCUCGAGGUAUUUUCUUUCCUUUUCCGUGAGUGGCCUGAGAUACGGGGUGCAGGGGACACUUGGGUCACGGGCUGCCUCACAGGCCCCCCUCAGUCACCAGGGCACCACAGAGCACCUGCUGCUGAGUGGUGGGGACCCAAGAUGGGCCCUUGAGGGAGCCAGCCAGUGCUGGGGAACUACCCUUCAUCAUGUCAGGGAAAAGGAAAGGGCCCCUGCGUGACAGGGUUGACCUGGCUCCCCUGUCAUGACCCACAGAGGCCUGCUCUCUGCUUGUCCCGGCCCCCCACAAAUGCCCAGCCAGGAAUGCCUGCCUGAAUGCUCGGCGUACAGAGAUGAGGGCUGGAAGCCAGCUAUGUCACCUUCGUUCCCUCACCUGUACAAUGGGGGUGUGGACAGUAACAUUGUCCUCAGAGGGUUCCUGGAAGGAAUAGGGGAGAUGGGGCUAGAGCCUGGCUCAGCCAGAGUGCUCGGUAAAGGCCGGGCAAGGUGGCUUACGCUGUAAUCCCAGCACUUUAGGAGGCCAAGGUGGGCAGACUGCCUGAGGUCGGGAGCUCAAGACCAGCCUGACCAACAUGGUGGAACCCUAUCUCUACUAAAAAUAGAAAAAAUUAGGUGGAUAUGGUGGCAUGUGCCUGUAAUCCCAGCUACUCAGGAGGCUGAGGAAGGAGAAUCACUUGAACCCAGGAGCAGAGUUUGCAGUGAGCUGAGAUGGCACCACUGCCCUCCAGGCUGGGCAACAGAGCAAGACUCAGAAAAACACACAUACACACACACACACACACACACACACAAAACAGUUCUCAGUAAGUGCUACUUCCUUUCUCCCAGGACCUGUGGCUCCUAGGAUGACCCCCACCAUCUGCCCCUAGGCACCAGGAGUGAGUCAGCUCUGAAAAGAAACCGAGAAUGAAGCUUUGGGACUUGGCACCUGCCUUCAGGGAGCCGAUGGUCCAGCCAGGGGGAUUAGGGCUCAUGUCUCUUCCUGGGCCUCCAGGAGGGAGAAGCCCAUGACCUUCAAAGCUAGAAUGAGGAAGCCAGUGGUGGCAGAGUGGGGCCCUACGUGAAGUGCCUGUGACAGGAGCUCUCUCGUAUGUCCAGGAGAGUGACAGGAACCCCAGGCAUUCAAGAAACCAAACAGGCACCCACAAUAAAUGAAGAGAUCAGGAAUUUACCAGGCCACAGUGGCUGCUUGGCAGCCACAUGCAGGAGUGCAGGAGACAGACAACACCGUGGCCGGGCCUCCCACGCUCCAUGCCAUGUCUGUAGCCACCACAGACUCACUCCACAGUGUGACACAGGAUAGGUCACAGCACCUGUCUGGCCUCAGCUUCCCAACUGUCAGAUGGAGAGGAUCAGCGCCCUCCCCCUGAGGCCAACAUGAACACCACACCAGGUAAAUCAGGACCUGCUCCUGUGUGUGGGGAGGGGGGUUGCCAACAAAGACAACAGAGAGUUCCUUUUCCCUGAGGUGAUGAAAGGUAGUUCCGACUUUCAGAAAAGAGAAGUGGGUGGAUCCUUCGGAAACAGUUCCACCCCCAGGCAGAGCGGCUCUGAUGAUUCAGUAGGUAACUUCCAGGUGUGCCCAGGAGGCGUAAGCUACCAAAGCCAGGUCCUCUCACCUGAAUUUUCAUCCAGCCCAAGUCUACCUCUGGACACCUACCCCUUCCUGGGACCUCCAGGCCAGGCCUGGAGAGGACAUGAGCCUGGAGGAGGCCCUCCCAAGCCCAAGCAGGAGGUAGACUUGGGGACAGCGGGCCUUUCCAUCAGGCGGGGCUCGGCCAAGAUGCCAGCAGCACCCAAGGCCUAUUGAGUGACUCUCAGGCCCCAGCGUCUCUCCCCUGGGUCCCUUUUAUCCUGUUUCCCAAAGCCCCACAGGCUUCCCUGCCUCUAUGGCUUUGCUAAGGCCUCCCACCUGCCCCAUUCACUCCGGCUUCUGCCUCUGUGCCUGCCGGGCUGCCCCACCUGGAGGCCUCCCCUGUGUUCUCUGGGCUUCUCACCACAUGGCUGCCUCAGUUAUCUGUAAGAGUGGCUGGAGCUCCCCCCGCCCUGCCUCUGCCCCUCCUUGACUCUGCCUGUGUCCCCCCUCCCAUCACCACCUUAGCCUGGCUCUCCUCCUUCCUCAGGACUCAGGAGCCAUUGAGGCUAUUGGGCACCUGCUGACAUUCUGCCUGGUCUCCCUGGCUUUCAGCCUCCCCCACCACUGCCUGCUGCUGCCUCUGGGCAUCAAACCAGCUGCUUGAGUAUUUCCCAUCCCACAGGACCCCUCUCUCCACAGCCCUGCACCCACACUCCAGCCUCUGCCCUCGGCUCUGAAAGCAUGGGCUCCACUCAUGGCCUCCAUUAAGCCCCUCCUCCCUGUCCCCUGAACCCCUGGGAUCUAACUCCUGCCCCAACACCCCACCACGGCCACUGACCACCUAUCUGUGGUUAUGCCUGGGGCACUUCAAUGCCAUCCUGCCUUGAUUCCUCAAAGCCAUUCCCAAGCGUAGAUCCUUCUCUCUCUCUCUCUCUCUUUCUGUCUCUCUCUCUCUCUGAGACGGAGUCUUGCUCUGUCGCCAACCUAGAAUGCAGUAGCGAGAUCUCGGCUCACUGCAACCUCCGCCUCCUAAA